ACACCUAAUAAUAUAUCCAAACAAAUCGAAAUAGCCCAAAUUCUCUUUACUCACUCGCAAUAGGCAAAUCCUAGCUCGUCGGUGUUCUUCGUCGAUUCUUCUUCAAUCUUUGCUUAUGUGAUAUUAGUUGUGAUUUCAGCUGUCACAAUGUCUGAAUCAAACCUUACACCAUGUCUGAAACUAGUUGUGAUUCAAUUAGUAACUCAAUGAUGAUGACUUGCUUUGGUGGUGAAAUUGCUCGUUGUUUCACUUCAAGGACUUCAUUGAACCCCGAAGAAGAUUUCAUAGGUGUUCUAAACCUAAGUGAGAAUAUAGUUCUCCGGAAAAUGCUUUGAUUGAAGUAAAUUUAUUGAAGUCUAAAUUGGAAGUGGCUACAGUGAAAAUGGAGAAUUUGAGAGAGUCGUAGAAUGCGGUUAAGAUUGAAAGAGACAAUUUGAAUAUUUUUUGAGAGUAUAAACUACUUCAAGGUGAACAAAUCAAGAAAUUUGAAAGCGAAAGUGUUGAAGUUGAAGAUGUUGUGAAUAUUGUCAUUUGUUGUGUUUGUGGUAUUUAUUGUUGCAAUUUUCAAGUGAUCUAGUUUUGUGCAAGUGUAUAUUUUUCUUGGUUACAAUUUUCAAGUAAGGAAGAAAUAUUUCCUUUA